rnacentral:rRNA from 1 species
AUUGAACGCUGGCGGCAGGCCUAACACAUGCAAGUCGAGCGGAUGAAGGGAGCUUGCUCCUGGAUUCAGCGGCGGACGGGUGAGUAAUGCCUAGGAAUCUGCCUGGUAGUGGGGGAUAACGUCCGGGAACGGGCGCUAAUACCGCAUACGUCCUGAGGGGGAAAGUGGGGGAUCUUCGGACCUCACGCUAUCAGAUGAGCCUAGGUCGGAUUAGCUAGUUGGUGGGGUAAAGGCCUACCAAGGCGACGAUCCGUAACUGGUCUGAGAGGAUGAUCGGUCACACUGGAACUGAGACACGGUCCAGACUCCUACGGGAGGCAGCAGUGGGGAAUAUUGGACAAUGGGCGAAAGCCUGAUCCAGCCAUGCCGCGUGUGUGAAGAAGGUCUUCGGAUUGUAAAGCACUUUAAGUUGGGAGGAAGGGCAGUAAGUUAAUACCUUGCUGUUUUGACGUUACCAACAGAAUAAGCACCGGCUAACUUCGUG